UCUUCCCUCUUCCCCUCGCUCUAAUCCCCGACUUUGCCUCAGGGUUCGAACAAAACCCAAAAUCACCACCUUCAGACGUUUUCCUGUUGCGGCUGGCCUGCAACCACAAUUAUUCGACUCAGGAGAGUCCCAACAAUAACAUUCGAGUUUUGCAUGAUUGAAUCUACCCCUCGAUCGAAGAGUUCCAUAAGCCCAGCUUGCGGUGUUGUUUUUUUCGACGAAGAUCCGAGUUUAUUUCCCGCCAAUUUAAGGCCUUUCCGACCUUUUUUGGGUCCGAAGAAGGAAUAGCUGAAUAAAUCAAAUGGUACAAGAAGAACAUCAUUUUGGCAACGAAGAAGAAAAUAGAGUGAAGUCCUGAGGAACAAUGUAAAAAGUUGGAACAUGUGAAACAAACACCCAUCUUUUGUUCCUUAUUGAACAUAAGGAUGCAAAUAGAGUUUGAUGUGAAUGUAAAUGGAUUUUAAUAUAUUCUACACAUUUAACAUAGUUAUAAAACCCACGGCAUCGUGCGGGAUCAGUUGCUUGCUA